rnacentral:rRNA from 1 species
GACGAACGCUGGCGGCGUGCUUAACACAUGCAAGUCGAACGGAAAGGCCCUGCUUUUUUGGGGUGCUCGAGUGGCGAACGGGUGAGUAACACGUGAGUAACCUGCCCUUGACUUUGUUAUAACUUCAGGAAACUGGGGCUAAUACCGGAUAGGAGCUCCUGCUGCAUGGGGGGGGUUGGAAAGUUUCGGCGGUUGGGGAUGGACUCGCUUCUUAUCAGCCUGUUGGUGGGGUGGUUGCUUACCAAGGCUAUGACGGGUGGCCGGCCUGAGGGGGUGACCGGCACAAUUGGGCAUGAGCUAGGGCACAGACUCGUCCGGGAGGCAGCAGUGGGGAAUAGUGCACACUGGGCGGAACCCUGAUGCAGCAACGCCGCGUGGGGGAUGACGGCCUUCGGGUUGUAACCCGAUUUCGCCUGUGACGAAGCGUGAGUGACGGUACUGGGUAAAGAAGCACCGGCUAACUACGUG